UACGUAGGGCGCAAGCGUUGUCCGGAAUUAUUGGGCGUAAAGAGCUCGUAGGUGGCUUGUCACGUCGGGUGUGAAAGCUUGGGGCUUAACCUCGAGAUGUCAUCGGAAACCAUUUGGCUAGAGUCCGGAAGAGGAGAGUGGAAUUCCUGGUGUAGCGGUGAAAUGCGCAGAUAUCAGGAAGAACACCAAUGGCGAAGGCGGCCUUCUGGACAGUGACUGACGCUGAGACGCGAAAGCGUGGGGAGCAAACAGG
rnacentral:rRNA from 1 species